rnacentral:rRNA from 1 species
CCCUACGGGGUGCAGCAGGCGCGAAAACUUUACAAUGCUGGCAACAGCGAUAAGGGAACCUCGAGUGCCAGGUUACAAAUCUGGCUGUCGAGAUGCCUAAAAAGCAUUUCAUAGCAAGGGCCGGGCAAGACCGGUGCCAGCCGCCGCGGUAACACCGGCGGCUCGAGUGGUAACCGUUAUUAUUGGGUCUAAAGGGUCUGUAGCCGGCCGGAUAAGUCUCUUGAGAAAUCUGGCAGCUUAACUGUCAGGCUUUCAGGAGAUACUGUCUGGCUCGAGGCCGGGAGAGGUGAGAGGUACUUCAGGGGUAGGGGUGAAAUCUUGUAAUCCUUGAAGGACCACCAGUGGCGAAGGCGUCUCACCAGAACGGACCUGACGGCAAGGGACGAAAGCUAGGGGCACGAACCGGAUUAGAUACCCGGGUAGUCCUAGCCGUAAACGAUACUCGCUAGGUGUCGGCCACGGUGCGACCGUUGUCGGUGCCGUAGGGAAGCCGUGAAGCGAGCCACCUGGGAAGUACGGCCGCAAGGCUGAAACUUAAAGGAAUUGGCGGGGGAGCACCACAACGGGUGGAGCUUGCGGUUUAAUUGGAUUCAACGCCGGAAAUCUUAC